rnacentral:lncRNA from 1 species
GAAUUUUCCUCCUUGGUUCAGUGGGCUUGGAGUCUGCAUCCUUCUAUCCCAGCCAAAGCAGCCCUGUCUACGCCCCAGUCACAUCGUGCACACUUCUACUCUCAGCUGUGCCUCUGCCUCUCUGAACCACCUUGCCUUCAGAAGUUCCUUGAAUCUGUCAAAAGCCAGCUGAAGCCAUCUUCCUUCACGAAGCCGCCCCUGAAUUCUCCAGCUUUCCUGGGCCUGGUCUCUCCAUUUGAUUAGGGCACUGUGAGGCACUGCUUCUCACCUGAGAACUUAAAAAUAAUGCAGCCAACAAUGUUUUACAAGACAGCAUUCCAAGAACAGACCACCAAGGUCAGUGCGUAAUGGUGCAGAGCA